AGCUGGCUGAAGCCGGGCCAAAU
rnacentral:miRNA from 14 species